CUCGCGAUAGCUCAGUUGGUAGAGCGGAGGACUGUAGAUCCUUAGGUCGCUGGUUCGAAUCCGGCUCGCGAGA
rnacentral:tRNA from 1 species